CAUAUAGAAGCACAAAGUACUAAAUAGCGUUUGCUCACUGUAUGCCCCAGUCAGUUAUUAGUUGGCAGCUGUGGAAUAUAGACGUUGGAUGGCAGGCUUGAGUUGAUUACUGUUUGCAUGGCUACUACCAAACCAAAUAUGACUUAAAAACAAACAGGAAGAGGUCACAGCAAAGGUUUAGAUCUGGAGACAAAGAUAUGAGCAUCAAAAUUUCGUUUUCUUGCUAGCAGAAACAAAGGAAAUGAAACUAUCAAGUACAUAGCAUGCUUACGUAAGCAAUUAGUGGCGUUGUUGUUGUGGUAUUCGAUUGGCAAAGCGCGCUUAUUAUAGGCCCUAUCUGCUAGAUAGGCAAUUUGCGUGUAUUUUGAACGACGCUUGCAACAACAAAGUUGUGCUUAAUUAUUUUUAUCCCAACGUUGUCUUGACGUAUGAAAAGUAGGCGCAACAAUGGUACUAUACGUACUUAAUAUGAUUAUCUAGAUAAGCCUUGUGACGUCUGCAGUUGGAAGAGCGGAAUCAGUAAGCGCAACAACAAAUGUUCGUUAUAACACCACAAGCAAACUAUUUGCGAAUUAUGUACCUAUAAAACCAAUUAUUCACACCAAGCGUACACCCACAUAUUUUUGCUCUACAAGAGAAUUACUUUGGAACAAAAUGUCAACAGGGUCGUAUUUGUCGUGUUUUAAUACUGAUAUGCUAUGCUAAUUGGUAAAUUAGUAGGGGUAGUAUUUUUGCGAUGUUUCAAUAUUUGAUGAAAAUAUCUACAGAAUGCAAUCAAAAAACGUAGCAAUGAAGUCACAUGAAGAAAAUAUUUACAAUCUAGAAUCAGAAAAUAUAACAGCGUAGUCAGAUAUUUAGAAUAUAAACCCAACUGAGGUGUAUUUAUAAAGUUAUAGGUGCACAGCCAUUCACAAUACAUCAGGCGGAUAUUGUUUUGAUGUUAUGCACUAUCUUUUAUCAAAAUGACAACUAUUGUUUAAGCUUGCACAAACAUCCCCGUAUAGUUGUUUUGACAGAUUAUUACAUAAAUUAAGGGUUAUCCAACUUAUUCAAGUGUGAGAGCGACCCAGACAUUGUUGCCAGAUCAACGAAUAAUUUUUCGGCAUUGAAAUUGCAAUACCGAAUAUUUAUUACGAUUGAUAAUUAUUUAAUAUUUACCGCCUAAUAUAAUGACUAACUAUUUAAGUCUUUUUUUCUUGUUAACUGCAAAUUAUUCAAUGUUUCUUUCCAUUCAAUUCAAUCAAUUUCUAUUGUGAAUUAAUACCCCAAAGCAUCAGAUCACAAAACAUUUCUUCAAUAAAUAUAAAUUUCGAGUUUCCUAUUCUUUUUAUUAUUUCAAUCCUUUUAUUAUUUAUAGAUUAUUUGAUGAUCUACAUGAUGUAUCAUACAUUUUAUAGAAGAUUUCAGGAUCGUCAAUAUUUGUCUGGGGUAAUUUUAUAUAAAAUUUAUAGUUUUUUUGGAAAUCGUGAAUAAAAUUUGUUUGAUCUUUGAAA